UCCAGACUCCUACGGGAGGCAGCAGUGGGGAAUAUUGGGCAAUGGGCGCAAGCCUGACCCAGCAACGCCGCGUGAAGGAAGAAGGCUUUCGGGUUGUAAACUUCUUUUCUGGGGGACGAAGAAAGUGACGGUACCCCAGGAAUAAGCCACGGCUAACUGCGUGCCAGCAGCCGCGGUAAUACGUAGGUGGCAAGCGUUAUCCGGAUUUAUUGGGUGUAAAGGGCGUGUAGGCGGGAAUGCAAGUCAGAUGUGGAAACUAUGGGCUCAACCCAUAGCCUGCAUUUGAAACUGUAUUUCUUGAGUGCUGGAGAGGCAAUCGGAAUUCCGUGUGUAGCGGUGAAAUGCGUAGAUAUACGGAGGAACACCAGUGGCGAAGGCGGAUUGCUGGACAGUAACUGACGCUGAGGCGCGAAAGCGUGGGGAGCAAACAGGAUUAGAUACCCUCGUAUG
rnacentral:rRNA from 1 species